UUGUAGUUUGGUUAUUUAAUAUUGGAAUUUAUUCAAUGUUUUUUUGUGCGGCAGAUUUUAUUUUUUUCAGGUUGAUGCGUUAUUCGUAUUGUAGUUUGGUUAUUUAAUAUUGGAAUUUAUUCAAUGUUUUUUUGUGCGGCAGAUUUAAUUUUUUGUUUUAAAGUUGUGGUUUAUAUUAUUUUGAAGAAUCCCUUCAAGAAUUGCAGGACAUGUCAUCAGUUGUGGUCCUCAGGAUCAUCGAGUGUUUCGGCCGUUAUCACAAGACACUCUCACCCGAGGGAGGCCCUCCCGAGGUCGAUCAACUCCCGGGAAUGUCCUAUAACUCCUCAAGAACUUCUUCCUUUUUAUAAGGUGUAUCAGUAAUGGACUCAUUUGACCCAAUAAUUGUGUUGGAGCAUGAGGCCAUAAUUGGUGGUUUCAAGUGCCUUUAUUGGCUUGUAAAAAAUGAAAUUGCCCACCAAACCAACUACCCCAAGCUUCUGAGUCUGGCAGAGCUUUUAGGGUGUGACUAUUUUAAAAAAUUAAAGAUUGACAAGAGGAAUAAUUAUAGGUCUCAUCGUAUUAUUGAUGAGAUGCUGGAGAUCCUAGCAGAGGUCUUGGAGGAACCUAUUCUCAUGGACAUCAGGUCAUCACAGGCGAUUAGCCUGGAGAUAGAUGAGAGCACUGAUGUCUCUGUGUCCAGGCAACUGGAUUUGCACAUCAGGUACUUGGAUAAAGAGGGACAGGUGUACAAUCAGUUCCUGGAUCUGGUAUCCGUCAUUGACGGCAAAGCGGACACCAUUGUUUCCGCUGUCAAAACAGUCCUUCUCAAAAAGGGCAUCCCGACUGAGAAGCUAUAUGGACUCGGGACUGAUGGGGCAGCUGUCAUGACAGGGCGUUUGAAUGGUGUUGCAAAGCAGCUUAAAGACAGCUUUCCCAAACUUUUGGCUGUGGCUUGUGCUGCCCACAAACUGGCCCUUGCUUGCAAGGAUGCUUCAAAUAGUGUCCCGUACAUGGCUACAUUUAGGGACCACUUGCAGGAUCUGUACCUGUUUUUUAGAAAUAGUGCCAAUCGGACCGCCACUCUCAAGGCUGCAUCCCUUAUCCUGGGUGUCACUGACCUGAAGGUUAAGGAAGUGAAGGACACGCGAUGGCUUUCACAGCAUAAAGCCAUACAGAUGCUACAGAGGAACCUGGCUGCUGUCCUUGGGGCCUUGGCGGAGGAGGCAGAGAUAAGGAAGUGUCCCACAGCCAAGGGCCUUUACACUUUCUGUGGGACUUACAGAUUUGUGGCCUCUGUAUAUCUACAGGCAGAUGUUUUGCCCCACCUAGCCUGUCUCUCAAAAGUGUUCCAGAAAGCACAUGUCAAUUUUUUACACAUCAAAGAGCAGGUUCCCGUCACCAUCCAGACCCUCCUGGAUAUAAGAGAGGCUGGGCAGACUCCGGUCCCAGGAUCCUUCCUGUCUCGCUUGCACGAGGACCUAGAGGAUCCUGACAAGCUUGGAGCCUUUGAAAUCAAGCAUGAGGCUGAGAGGGGCAGGAGGGGGGAAGAUGUCCAGGACCAGUCGAGGGAGGCACAGUGGUGCAGAUUCGAGCGACAGGUCAUCCAACCCUACAUUACUGGCCUGGAGACAGAGUUGAAAAGGAGGUUCCAGGAACUGGACAUCCUUGGAGCCUUCCAUGUCCUGAGACCUCAGUCGGCUUCCCUCCCUGACAGUGUGUCCAUUGCACAGCUGCAGACUCUGGCAAAACAAUUCUGUCCAGACCAAGAGAAGGUGCUCCUCCAAGGUUUUCGUUCAAAAACCAUCUCAUUACAGGGUCAUUACAGAACAAGAGCCAGGAGGAGCUCCUGACUCUGCUGGCGAGUGAGUACGAUGAGUGGUUAGACCUCUACCCCUGCAUCAGUCUCCUUGCCAGCAUUGCCCUGAUUGUCCCAGUCUCUUCGGUGAAUUGCGAGCGGGAUUUCUCCGCUAUGAAUAGGAUAAAAACAGACCUCAGGAACAGGCUUCAAGGGGAACACCUGGCAGCCUGCUUAAGAAUUGCCAUAAAUGGGCCAGAACCGAAUGAGGUCCCUUAUGAUCGGGCCCUUGAGUUCUUUUUCAGGAACCCACGUAGGAUCAAGUGUUCUGAUGGGGCAUGCAAGCUUUGCACAUAAGGGAUAAUGCAGUUUUAUUAUUUUAGUUAGUUGUUGUAAUUAGUAGUAUUGUUGUUAAAUAUUGGUUCAGUUAGGUCUUGGGUUUAUUUGUUAUUGAAAUAAAGACCUCCAGCUUUAGUUGUCUGUUGCAAUUCAUUCAUUGAAUGUCAGUUAAAAACUAAACUCGUGCACCGCGUCGCGUCGCGUUGCCGUCGCACGCACACCUGCGUCGCACCGCGUCGACGUCGCACGCGGUCCACAAUGGAUUUCUAGUCCAUCACCUUAACCACACAGU